AAGAGAGAAUUAGAGAGAGCAUAUGUGGGGUGGCCAGUCCUCUUCUGGCUGUGCCGGGUGGAGAUUAUAACAGAACGUGGCCAAGAUGUUCAAAUGUUCAUAAAUGACCAGCAUGGUUGAAUAAUAGUAAGGCAGAACAGUUGAAACUGGAGCAGCAGCAUGGCCAGGUGGACUGGGGACAGCAAGGAGUCAUCAUGUCAGGUAGUCCUGGGGCAUGGUCCUAGGGCUCAGGUCCUCCGAGAGAGAGAAAGAAAGAGAGGAGAGAAUUAGAGAACGCACACUUAGAUUCACACAGGACACCGAAUAGGACAGGAGAACACCGAAUAGGACAGGUAGAGAGAUGCAGAGAGAGACGGAGGUAGAGAGAUGCAGAGAGAGACGGAGGUAGAGCGAUGCAGAGAGAGAUGGAGGACAGAUGCAGAGAGAGAGAGAGAGAGAUGCAGAGAGAGACGGAGGUAGAGAGAUGCAGAGAGAGAUGGAGGUAGAGAGAGAUGGAGGUAGAGAGAUGCAGAGAGAGAUGGAGGUAGAGAGAGAUGGAGGUAGAGAGAUGCAGAGAGAGACGGAGGUAGAGAGAUGCAGAGAGAGACGGAGGUAGAGAGAUGCAGAGAGAGACGGAGGUAGAGAGAUGCAGAGAGAGACGGAGGUAGAGAGAUGCAGAGAGAGACGGAGGUAGAGAGAUGCAGAGAGAGACGGAGGUAGAGAGAUGCAGAGAGAGACGGAGGUAGAGAGAGAUGGAGGUAGAGAGAGAUGGAGGUAGAGAGAUGCAGAGAGAGACGGAGGUAGAGAGAUGCAGAGAGAGACGGAGGUAGAGAGAUGCAGAGAGAGACGGAGGUAGAGAGAUGCAGAGAGAGACGGAGGUAGAGAGAUGCAGAGAGAGACGGAGGUAGAGAGAUGCAGAGAGAGACGGAGGUAGAGAGAUGCAGAGAGAGACGGAGGUAGAGAGAUGCAGAGAGAGACGGAGGUAGAGAGAUGCAGAGAGAGACGGAGGUAGAGAGAUGCAGAGAGAGAUGGAGGUAGAGAGAUGCAGAGAGAGAUGGAGGUAGAGAGAUGCAGAGAGAGACGGAGGUAGAGAGAUGCAGAGAGAGACAGAGGUAGAGAGAUGCAGAGAGAUGGAGGUAGAGAGAUGCAGAGAGAGAGAGUGUCUGGCUGUGCUGAUUUUCCAUUAGUUUCACAGCUGAUUAACUGACCUGACUACAGUCACAGUAACAACACCUGUCUCUUCCCCGAUGAAUCACACUUUGAAUGCAUCCCAAAUGGAACCCUAUACCCUAUAUAGUCUAUGGUCAAAAGUAGUGCACUAUAUAGGAAAUAGAGUGCCAUUUUGUACACAUCCUUGGAUCAGCACUCGUCUCUAUUUGCACCAGACUCUAAAAUACCCAAAUGAUUACUCCCAUCUUAUUAUCAGGAUGGCUGAACCUUUACGUGAUGAUUGAUUAAGCUCCGAGCAACACAACAACUAUAAACAGAGAGACGUAUAUAGACAGUGGAUCAUUUCCAUUGAGCCAAAAGCAGAACAUGGGUCCUAGACGGCAUCCUAUUCCAAUAUAGUGGUGAUAGGGCCCUGGUCAAAAGUAGUGCACUAUAAAGGAAUAGGGUAUCAUGGGCCCUGGUCAAAAGUAGUGCACUAUAAAGGAAUAGGGUAUCAUGGGCCCUGGUCAAAAGUAGUGCACUAUAAAGGAAUAGGGUAUCAUGGGCCCUGGUCAAAAGUAGUGCACUAUAAAGGAAUAGGGUAUCAUGGGCCCUGGUCAAAAGUAGUGCACUAUAAAGGGGAAAGGGUUCCAUUUGGUAUUCAUAAAUGUUAUCAUCAGCUGUAGGUUUGACUCUGACCUGUUUCUUCCUGACACAUACGUUAGUCAGCCUGGUAUGUGAGACACAGCUAAGCGCCCGG